AAUUGUUGCCUCGGCGGAUCAGCCCGCUCCCGGUAAAACGGGACGGCCCGCCAGAGGACCCCUAAACUCUGUUUCUAUAUGUAACUUCUGAGUAAAACCAUAAAUAAAUCAAAACUUUCAACAACGGAUCUCUUGGUUCUGGCAUCGAUGAAGAACGCAGCAAAAUGCGAUAAGUAAUGUGAAUUGCAGAAUUCAGUGAAUCAUCGAAUCUUUGAACGCACAUUGCGCCCGCCAGUAUUCUGGCGGGCAUGCCUGUUCGAGCGUCAUUUCAACCCUCAAGCCCUCGGGUUUGGUGUUGGGGAUCGGCGAGCCCUUGCGGCAAGCCGGCCCCGAAAUCUAGUGGCGGUCUCGCUGCAGCUUCCAUUGCGUAGUAGUAAAACCCUCGCAACUGGUACGCGGCGCGGCCAAGCCGUUAAACCCCCAACUUCUGAAUGUUGACCUCGGAUCAGGU
rnacentral:rRNA from 1 species